ACAACCCAGUCUCACGGCAGUUCGUGACAUAGUCACGUAAUUUAAUCUAUUGAUUCGUGUUCAUGGACACGAUUUCCCCCUUUUUUUCGUGCUAGUCAGAACGACUUUCAAUCUAAUGUAUUUCAAUAGGAAGUAUUUUUCGUGCCUGCACCACGUUUUUUUGUCCUAUUAUUUUUUCGUGUUUUCCUGCACGAAUUUAAUCUAAUAUAUUGCAAUAGUAUAUACCCGGGAGCUGUAUUGUUUUACUUUAUUUGUCAUUAAUUUAUUACACUUUAAGCGCUACUUUACUCAACAUUUAAUCAGGAGACGUUUAUCCUUUUUUAUUUGUUUAAUAUUCUGCAUGAUGAUCGCCAUUGUAAACCAUCGUCAGCAGUACAUAAUUGUUAAUUUACGAGACUGCAGAGUUUUGCUACUGCAAUCGUUUCCAAAUGUUGCCGUUUUUUCUGAGAAAUAUUGAUUUUUUUCGAUCGGUUUCGUGUGUCAAAUACAAGAUUAAAUACUACAGUACCCAUGAGCCUUAUCGACAUCUACUAUGGUGAAGGCACCAGCUAAAACUACAUGUGGGCCCGCUGCAGAUUACAAUAUUUUCUCAACACAUGAACACUAACGUGUGCUUGAUAGUUCAACAAUACGAUGUUAUGGCCAUCAAAUUUGAUUGUUUCUACUUUGAUUGUAAAAAAAGUCCGUUUCGGACGCCUGCAUUUCCCAGAAUCCUCUCUGCCUCCGUUGCUAUGGAAUCUGAGCCAGUCCUCUUUGCUAUUGGGUGAUUUCUUCUUCGGUACUCGUAAUUGACUGGGAUUCUCUCAUUACGCGUAAAUCACUGUCCAGAUCCUGUCAAUCGAAUCACCUGUUACAACUUAGAUUUAAUGUUGCUUAUUUUAUAAACCCAAAUGCAAUUUUAAGACCAAUCCAUCCUCUCUUUCUUUAUCAUUUUCUGUCUAUUUCUUGCAACCUAUCUCUACAUACUGCAUCUGUUGUACCUGUCUGUCCAGCUGUGUGUUUGUCCUUCUGUCUUUGUCUGCUUUGCAAUGGCCACCAGAUAUACCCCUCACAAACAGGAUCCCCACUACCAAGUGGGGAGGCUCAUGGCUCUUGAGCUGAACCAUGACCACAUUCUAGCUGAAGCCAAGAGAUCAGCUGUGGAGACGAAACGUUUAUGCCCUAGAAGAGACCCUUCACAGACCUCUAAAAGGAUCUUUGUUGGCUGGGGCAAGCCGAGGGGGAGGCAAGGAGGGUGACGCCAAGCCUCAGCUACAGGUCACUUUUACAGGUUGAGUGCUUCCUGUCAUCCAGUGUGGAGAUUCCACUUAACUGUACCCUCAGCAAAACUAAAUCCUCAUGAGGAAUUUGGUGCAGAGAGUGGUUCUGUGGGGACCCUGAUUUAUUACGUCACAAAAAACAGCCACUCCACAAUAGGGAAUGUGUAAUUAAUAGGUUUUUUAAAGGCAUCCGUCCAACCAAAUGCAUCAUUAAAGGGGAAGAUGGAUAUUGCACACAACACAAGGGCGUUUUGACUUGCAUCAGCCACUGUAUGUCUGUUAAACAUGCAAACAGCAAAGGACCCCAGACCUGAAAGACCUUCUGAAGAGUGGAUAUUGACCAGCUUCAAUAAUCACCACCACACUUUACAUACUGGACCCCCUGAUCUCCUUUCAAGAACUCAAGGUCAUCUCUUCAAGAUUCUCCAGACAAGCCUUCUCAAAGCUGCUGGAAAAUUGCACGAAGUGUGGAAGAAGAUUUGGAUAUAUCAACGGCGAUGCACUGCAAUGCAGCUUCUUGGAGUUUUCAUACGCUUCAUUUGAAGCAGACCAGCUCUGGUGUGGUGCUCCUUUCACCUGCCCAGCCUGAACGCUAGAAUUGUUGGCUGCUUCAGCAGAUGGAAACAGAAAGCUAUAUCGCUUUUGCUCAAACAGAAGCUCUGGUGAUCCUGUUUUUUGUGGCUGAAGACAGUGCGGUGUCUAGAUUUGUCAACACCAUACAAAAAGCACUGAAAAUGCAAGUUUUAAUCAUAACUUGACAAAAUAGUUGUUACACAAAAAAUCUUGUUCGGAGUUGAUUUCUACUUUUGCCUACCAAGUACUCCUAAAUCAAAUUAGGAAUAAAUGCCAUAUACUGUAUUGUAUGACACCAUCACUUUAAUUUGAUUUGUUGUGUUUGUU